rnacentral:snRNA from 1 species
GUACUUGCUUCAGCAGCACAUAUACUAAAACUGCCAUACAGAGAAGAUUAUCACGACCCUGUGUAAAUAAUACGUGAAUUCAUGAAGUGUUCCAUUUUUUU